GUUUUCGUGGUGUAGUUGGUUAUCACGUGCGCCUCACACGCGCAAGGUCUCCGGUUCGAACCCGGACGGAAACA
rnacentral:tRNA from 1 species